rnacentral:rRNA from 1 species
CGAGCACGCGCGUGUGGCAUAUCAAUAAGCGGAGGAAAAGAAACUAACAAGGAUUCCCUUAGUAACGGCGAGUGAAGCGGGAAGAGCUCAAAUUUGAAAUCUUCAAGGUUCUACCUUGACGAAUUGUAGUUUAUAGAAGUGUUUUCUGUUAGAGAGUUGGUAAAAGUUCUUUGGAAUAGGACAUCAUAGAGGGUGAGAAUCCCGUAUUUGGUCAUUCCUCCUAGCGUUGUGAUACACUUUCAACGAGUCGGAUUGUUUGGGAAUGCAGUCCAAAAUGGGCGGUAAAUUUCAUCUAAAGCUAAAUAUUGGCGAGAGACCGAUAGCGAACAAGUACCGUGAGGGAAAGAUGAAAAGAACUUUGAAAAGAGAGUUAAACAGUACGUGAAAUUGUCAAAAGGGAAGCGUUUGACACCAGUGUUGUUUUUCCGAAAAUCAAUUAUGAAUGGCUUGAUUUUAAGUUUCAUGACCUUAAAAGCUUGUUUCUUAUUUUUCAUGUCUUUCGUAAUGCACUUUUCGGUUAACAAGUCAACAUCAAUUUCUUUUGUUGUAAAAGGGUAUGAGGAAGGUGGCUUUAAUUUCGGUUAAAGUGUUUAUAGCCUUUUACCCCUGCAAUCGGAGAGAUUGAGGUCUGCAGCGUAGAUCCUUCGGGGUUAGAUACAUUUGUGCUAAGCUAUAGCCUUGUAUAGACAACUUGUUGACUAUGCUCAGUCAUGUAGCUUACUCGCUUAUGCUAUUUUACCUACGCUUAGGAUGUUGAACUCUAUCACACACAG